AACUGAUACUACCUGCGGGAACCUGCGGAGGGAUCAUUAUCGGGUCCCCGCUCCAAGUAGCGGACCUCUCACCCUUGUUUUCGCUACGAUCGUUGCCCUGGCGGGUCGAUCCCGCCAGGGGUUCAAGUCUCGAUAUCUUACGGUCGUCGGAGCCUAUUUAGAAAACGCGAAAACUUUUAACAACGGAUCUCU
rnacentral:misc_RNA from 1 species